GAUAGUUAAAGAUACAUGAAAUGUUGUAUAGGUAGCAGUACAGUUUUAACUAGCUAUAUUCUUGUAAAUAAAUAAAUAAAUAAAUAAAUAAAUAAAUAAAGAUUUGUUCAGAACAGGUUUUGCUCAAGAAUGAAAAGAAUUCACUAAGACAUCAAUAUGGCUCAUUGGACAGACGCGGAGCGUCAUGUCAUCGGUGACCUGUGGGGAAAGAUCAACCAUUACGAAAUCGGACCACAGUCCCUGGCCAGGUUGUGUGAGUUGUGCAGGCUUGUGUCACUGGACUUAAAGAAGGCAUCAUUUGAAGGGCUUGAUCAGCACCUCCCAUGGCUCCUGCAGUUGUAUAACACCGAGAGGCAGUGAAAUACCAGAAAUCCAAAACGUGAUGACUUGCCUUGAGAGAGGCAAGUCUAACGAACUUCAGUUUGUUCUGCUCCAGAAAUGUGCCGACAUCCAGCAUAACAGCACUGAUUGUUAUGUAAUAGACAUGCACAGUAGAGCUGUUGUGAUUGAUAAACUUAUGUGAUUACUUGACUGUAGACAAGACUCUAUAAAUGUAAAAUCUUUUGUUGAAAUUCAGAUAACAUUGUACAGAAUCUUCAAGAGUUCUGCAGAAAGAUUUUGAAUGCCUGUCAUUCGCCCAAACAAAUUUACAGUUGAACAGUCAGUCUGAAAGAAAACAUUUAAAAAUAACUCCUGCAGUGUGAAUAAAGCCUUUGUAUUGCUUUUA